ACUAUUAAAGUUUAGAAAAACAAAGGCUUUUCAAGCCUUAAACCCAAGUUAAACCCUUGGUAAUAGUC
rnacentral:tRNA from 1 species